rnacentral:lncRNA from 1 species
GGGUGCAAAAAAGUUUAAAAAAACCCCUAAACCACAAAGAGAUUAAGCUCAAUCUUUACCAACAAUGGUAAGCUUGAAGUUAAUAACAUAAUCUAGGACAAAGACAAACAAUUAAUCUCCCAAUCCCAAGCACUUCUCAUAUUACUGGAGCAACCAGAGACAACAAGAGUAAAGCCACAAGAUAAGUUCAAUCAGGUCUCACCGAAGUGGCUCCAAGCAGGCAUCGACGGCAACGGCUGGCUCCCGCCCCGGAGCUCCGUUUGGAGGAGGACGCCGACGAACAAACUCAAGCUUCCUCAGUACUUGCUAACGUGUAACCUGACAUCGACACCGUUUAAAGAUGAAGCCUGAGUUACGGUCAAGCGCAGACGGUCGUUUUGGCUCCUCAUCCGGCCACGCGACACAAAGGAUACAGCAGAAAUAUCAAGCCACACAAAAGCUAGCAACUGGAGCUUAGGAGGUAGGGAAUUGAAGUGCAGAAGGAGUGUGAAAGCUCCUUGAAACAGACGAAUCCAAAACCAGUGAGAAUACCACCUCAAUGCAGGAGACAUUUUCGCAAGGGUUGUCCUCAAAACCCUAGGAAACAGCAUCGAGAGCAGAAAGGAGGACAAAUACAGGUUCUGGAGUCACGCCAUGGUUGUCGUCAUUCGAC